UGAAUACGAGAUGCUACGGCGUCGAAGCAGUGUAUGUCAGACUUCCAAGAAAAGCUCGCAAUGUCAUAAAUAAAGAAUGCCUGUACCAUAACCGACACAGGUGGGUAGGUAGAGUAUACUAAGGGGCGCGAGAUAACUCUCUCUAAGGAACUCGGCAAAAUAACUCCGUAACUUCGGGAGAAGGAGUGCCUUCUUUAAGAAGGUUGCAAUAACAAGAUCCAAGCAACUGUUUAUCAAAAACACAGGUCUCCGCUAAGUCGUAAGACGAUGUAUGGGGGCUGACGCCUGCCCAGUGCCAGAAGGUUAAAGAAGUUGGUUAGCUUUUGCGAAGCUGAUGACUGAAGCCCUGGUGAACGGCGGCCGUAACUAUAACGGUCCUAAGGUAGCGAAAUUCCUUGUCGGGUAAGUUCCGACCCGCACGAAAGGCGUAAUGAUUUGAAUACUGUCUCGGAGAGGGACUCGGUGAAAUAGACUUGUCUGUGAAGAUGCGGACUACCUGCACCAGGACAGAAAGACCCUAUGAAGCUUUACUGUAACUUGAAAUUGAAAUUGGACUUUAUUUGCGCAGUAUAGGUGGAAGGCGUUGAAAGUAAUCUUGCGGGAUUAGUGGAGCCAUCAGUGAGAUACCACUCCUAUAAUGUUAGAUUUCUAACUUUGGAUCAUGAUCUGGUCAAAGAACAGUUUCAGGCGGGCAGUUUGACUGGGGCGGUCGCCUCCCAAAUGGUAACGGAGGCGUACAAAGGUUUCCUCUGAACGGGUAGAAAUCGUAUCUAGAGUGUAAAGGCAUAAGGAAGCUUGACUGUGAGACCUACAAGUCGAGCAGGGACGAAAGUCGGUCUUAGUGAUCUGACGGUGCUGAGUGGAAAGGCCGUCACUCAACGGAUAAAAGUUACUCUAGGAUAACAGGCUGAUCUCCCCCAAGAGUUCACAUCGACGGGGAGGUUUGGCACCUCGAUGUCGGCUCAUCGCAUCCUGGGGCGGUAGUACGUCCCAAGGGUUGGGCUGUUCGCCCAUGAAAGCGGUACGCGAGCUGGGUUCAGAACGUCGUGAGACAGUUCGGUCCAUAUCCGGUGUAGGCGUUAGAAUAUUGAGAGGAGCCUUCUUUAGUACGAGAGGACCGAGAAGGACAUACCUCUGGUGUACCAGUUAUCGUGCCAACGGUAAACGCUGGGUAGCUAUGUAUGGAGAGGAUAACCGCUGAAAGCAUCUAAGUGGGAAGCCCACCUCAAGAUGAGUAUUCUCAU
rnacentral:rRNA from 1 species